UUCCUCGUCGCUGUUCCUUUCGUAUGUCUGUAAGUGAGCUGUGUGAAUUCCUAAAUAGUUGUUUUCAUUUUUCAAACCAUUUUUUUAAUGCUGCUAACUUUAUUUAAAUUUUGGGCUUUGAACUGAACGAGACAAGUAGAGGCUGCUGCUAACUUUUUGUAUCGUGUUUUUUAAGAAGUGGUUUCUACUUUCUAUCAUUGUU